CCUACGGGCGGCUGCAGUGGGGAAUAUUGGGCAAUGGGCGCAAGCCUGACCCAGCAACGCCGCGUGAAGGAAGAAGGCUUUCGGGUUGUAAACCUCUUUUAAGAGGGAAGAGCAGAAGACGGUACCUCUUGAUUAAUCCACGGCUAACUACGUGCCAGCGGCCGCGGUAAUACGUAGGGGGCAAGCGUUGUCCGGAUUUACUGGGUGUAAAGGGCGUGUAGCCGGGCUGACAAGUCAGAUGUGAAAUCCCGUGGCUCAACCACGGAACUGCAUUUGAGACUGUCAGUCUUGAGUAUAGGUGAGGCAGGCGGAAUUCCUAGUGUAGCGGUGAAAUGCGUAGAUAUUAGGAGGAACACCAGUGGCGAAGGCGGCCUGCUGGACGACAACUGACGGUGAGGCGCGAAAGCGUGGGGAGCAAACAGGAUUAGAUACCCGGGUAGUC
rnacentral:rRNA from 1 species